AUGUAAUUCCUACAUAUUUAAUUCACUGGAUCCCAUUAGAACUCUGCAAUUAAGCGCAUUUCAGAUAGAGUAGUACUGGAAUGGGUGACCUCCCGGGAAGUCCUAAUGUUUUACAUG
rnacentral:rRNA from 1 species